GUCGAUAAAAGAAUGACAAUCAAACAAACAUUUUAUAUCUUCAAAUACUUUCAUAAAAUCUACAAAUUCUACACUAAUAAUAACAAAAUAAAUACAAAACUCGUGCAAUGCACAUGACAUAGACUAGUAUUAACUUGAAAAGAAAGGAACAUACGCCUCUUACUUUCAAAAUGGAAGUAAAUGGUUAAAGGGAGCUGAAAAUGGAGAGAUUUAAUUUCAGCCCAGAUGCACUCCCUAAUCAAACCCUUCUUAAUGCCCUUAGAAUCACACAAACACGUCAACAUACUCUCAAUAAACCUCCAUUUAAGUGGCAGAGGACCAUCACAAAUAUUUCAAGAUAUAGUCGAUACAAUUCUUUCAUUGUUAGGGCAUGUUUGGCUGAGCUUAAAUUAGACAACAUAGAUAAUUAAAUGAACAAGUGUACUUAAGAUCACGUGCAUAUGCAUACGUGUUCUUAAAGAAAUUCUUACAAGCCCAUAUGGCAUGAAUUUUGAAAAGCUAAAAGGAAUUUUUGAAAUCCAAAAGUUACUUUUGAAUCCUUUUAACUCAUUUUAUAAAAGUAUUUCUUCUAGUUAAAAGCUUUUAGAG
rnacentral:lncRNA from 1 species